AUACGGAGGCUGCAAGCGUUGUCCGGAUUUAUUGGGUUUAAAGGGUGUGUAGGCGGUGUAUUAAGUCAGUGGUGAAAGCCUGCGGCUCAACCGUAGAACUGCCAUUGAUACUGACACACUUGAGUAUGGACGAGGUAGGCGGAAUUUAUGGUGUAGCGGUGAAAUGCAUAGAUACCAUAAAGAACACCGAUAGCGAAGGCAGCUAACUAGGCCAUAACUGACGCUGAGGCACGAAAGCGUGGGGAGCGAACAGGAUUAGAAACCCGAGUAGUCC
rnacentral:rRNA from 1 species